rnacentral:rRNA from 1 species
GACGAACGCUGGCGGCGUGCCUAAUACAUGCAAGUCGAACGCUUUUUCUUUCACCGGAGCUUGCUCCACCGAAAGAAAAAGAGUGGCGAACGGGUGAGUAACACGUGGGUAACCUGCCCAUCAGAAGGGGAUAACGCUUGGAAACAGGUGCUAAUACCGUAUAACACUAUUUUCCGCAUGGAAGAAAGUUGAAAGGCGCUUUUGCGUCACUGAUGGAUGGACCCGCGGUGCAUUAGCUAGUUGG